rnacentral:lncRNA from 1 species
GUUUGGACAACUUGGUUGCAAGGGAGAAAGUCGACAGGUAACGACUUAGAAGACUUCGACGACUUUCUCGCGACUUGGACGACAAUAUGGCUAAGUCGUCGACUUGGACAGAGCGGGUGUUCGACCCGAACCUUAACUGAGUUAAAAAAAACAGCAAAGUUCGAGUCGACUGUAAACCUAAUCGAUCGAUCGCGACUUUGGAAUAGCACAGAGGGAGAAACGAGUUGCAGAGCAGAGACCAAGAGCAAGAAAGGGGACUAAUCUGUCGACGCGACUUCCAGUAUGCCUCCUCUUUCCUUUUCUUCUACUCUUCUUCUUUUCUUCAGUUCUACUUUUCUUUUCUUUUCUGCCGAUGCAUCGACUUGGAUAGAGGUUUGGUUCUGCCAUUUUUUUUCUUCUCUUGGGUUUCACCAUUCCUGAGCUUUUUUUCCUUCUCUUUGGUUUUGGGCACACAAUACACACGAGAAGUCAUUUGUUUUGUUUCUUGGUUCUUGGAUGUUUACCAGGGGUAUGACUUUCUAAUAAUAAUAAUUAUUAUUAUUAUUAUUAUUAAAUGCAUGUUGCAGCCUUACUGCCUUACAGCGUACAAGGGAGAUAAUUUUUUUUCCUUUCUAAACCUUUAAUGAUGUGAUGUUAGUGACUUACUGUUGUAGUGUUGUAUAAUAUAAUUGGAUUAUUUUUUUGUUUGGGAGUAUGAUGGUGAUUGGUGCCUUGCAGCUGUAUAAUUAUUGAAUGCAUGUUGAUGCCUUACAGCGUACAGGGGAGAUAAUAUUUUUUUUUGCUUUCUAAGCCUGUAAUGAUGUGAUGUUACUGACUUACUGAUGUAGUGUUGUAUAAUAUAAUUGAAUUAUUUUUUGUUUGGGAGCAUGAUGGUGAUUGGUGCCUUACAGUUGUAUAAACUAUAAUAUAGUAGAAAGGAGGAAAACAUCCCAAUCUGUUAGCAGAACUAACAACCAAAUUACAACUUAUAAUACAAUAAAGCUUAUUAUUUACUUUAGCAGGAAGCCAAAUUAAAAAAACAACCAAAGCUGAAAAUAAUUAGUCACCUAAAUAUAUAAAUAUUCAUAUAAAUGUUAAAUAUAUAGAAUUUUAUACGUAUAAAAUUUACAUUGUUAACGACUUGUCGACUUGUGGACGACUAGUCGGGCGCUUUGUCGCCUAAGCGCUUAAGCUCCCUGCUGUCGUCUCGCCUCGACUUAGCGCCUUGAUAACUAUGGACACAAUUAAAAAAUUAGAGAUAAUAAGUUAUUAGGGUUAAGCCAACCUGAAACUAAUUCUGUAUUACUUGGCUAAGAAAGAGAAAAUAAAAAUAAAACUGGGGCUAGCGACUACUAAGAACAAAAAGGAAUAACCAGAAGAUUUUUUUCCUUUCGUGGAAGGAGAAAUUGGAUUUACAAGGUAAUUCUCUUAUGUUAUUAUCUAUUAUUAAAUUUUACAAUCAAUUUUGGCGGCAUCGAAGUCAUUCCGUUCAUUACAUUGCAUCCGAAUUCAUGUCAUGUAAGUUGUAACUAGUAGGAUGAGCAUGCGCAUUAGUGGAUAAAUAAAUGUUUAAUAAUUAAAUAUUAUAAAAAUAAAUCAAUGAAAUUGUAUUUAAUCAAAAGAGGAGGAAUUAAAGUGUUAUUAGGUAAUCAUGUGUGGAGUUGUAGUUUUACAGAUCGGUAACAUCAAGGUGCUCUGGAUAUAUAUUAGUUCUGAUUAUGUAAGUAAUGAUUUAUAUCAUUAUAUAUUUUAUAUUCCUUUUGUUAGGACGAAGGUAAUUUAUAUUAUGAGCAGAUGCAUAUAGUUAAAUUAUUGACUUUAAAGUUUCGCAUAAUAAAAAUAAUAGGAUUAUAGAAAUUUUAAGCGAGAAAAUAAUAUUUUGUAAUUGUACUUAAAUUUAUUAUUAAUUUAUGUAAUUAGCUCGAACAAAGGGAGUUUAUAGUGUUAUAUUCAGCGAUAAUCUUUAAUUUUAGUUUGUUCGUUUUGCUUUUCGUUUCGAAUUCGGAUAUUGUCUCGAUACUUGGAUCAUAGUGGAAUUCAUAUGAUAGUUUAUUUUGAUCUUCGAAAUUUUCACAACUUGUACUAUUUGAACUAAUUAAUCAUAUAUACUCCCUCCGUCCCAAAUUAUCUGCUGUUUUAGCAAAAAAAAAUUGUCCCACAAUAUCUGCUUUUUCAAAAUUUCAAUGCAUUUUUUCCCUUUGUUUUCCAAAUUUGCCCCUUUACCUUAAUUGUUGAUAGUCAUUACUCAUUCAAGUCUCUCCUCUUUUUUAAGCAUCCUUUUCAUAUACCCACUAAUAAGAAUGUGAUUGCCAAAGUUAUGCUUCUUAAAAGACAUUGGCACACUCUUCCAUGGACAAUCUCCUUUUACUAAAGCCUUAAUUACAGAAAACAAUAAAUUAGCACAGAAGGGUAUUUUAGUAUUUUUAUCACACAUAUUGGUAUGUGUGUAGAACUCUAGAACAGCAGAUAAUUUGGGACGGAGGGAGUAGUAUUUAUUUUGAUAUUUGUAGACAUGUACAUAAUAAAACACUUGUGUUGAUAUUGUGUUGCAUGUGUUGCGACAUGGUAUCUUUGUUAGAAUAUACCAUAGGGUAUACCUGAGCUAUAACCACUUAUAGGGAUACCACAAACAUGUUUUCUUGACAUUGAGACAUGACACCUUCCGUGGUAGUGUGAUUAGUCUACGACGUCUCCAUUUUGUGCUCCGGUGAGAGUUGAUCACAUAGUGAUUUUGUUGUGGGAUACAUAUGGGUUGGCCCUAAUUUUCUGUUCUGUUCUACGGAUUGGUGUUGUUUGUGUCAAACACGCCUUCCAAUUUUGUAUGCAUCUGAAUUGCGCAGUCCAAUGUGUAUUGUCUACCUUUGUAGCAGUACUUUAAUUGCAUGUGGCAUUAUAUGACUUGUCUGUGUGGCAAAAUAUAUUUAUGUUUUGUUGUAUAAAAUAAUAACCAACCAUUUGAUUCAACCUAUUAAUUCGUUGUGUUAGUUUUGUUCAUUUCGGUUCAGUUAAUUGAGUUAGUUAUUUCAGUUCAGUAUUUUUGCACUAUAUCCGUACUGGACAUUUGGCUCAUUCUUUUUUUCCUUCCGACAGGUAAUAAGGUGAAUCAAGGGCAAGUGUGAUGAGAGUUGCCUUCUAUCCAAUGGUUUAGAUAUUAUGUUUAAGUUUUGAUACAUUGAUUUAUUUGUAGUAGUAAUAAAUAUCUUAGAUUGUGGUUUGAGCCAGUUUGGCAUUUAUUGUUGCUUGUCU